rfam:Sorghum bicolor cultivar BTx623 chromosome 1, whole genome shotgun sequence.
UCUGUGUGGAAUGUUGUCUGGUUCUAGGCCUCUCUCUACAUGCAAGCAUGGAUGUAGUAGCAGCCUACUGCAAUUGCUUGCUGGGACCUCGGACCAGGCUUCAUUCCCCUCAGA